rnacentral:rRNA from 1 species
AACGAACGCUGGCGGCAUGCCUAACACAUGCAAGUCGAACGAGAUCUUCGGGUCUAGUGGCGCACGGGUGCGUAACGCGUGGGAAUCUGCCCUUUGGUUCGGAAUAACAGUUGGAAACGACUGCUAAUACCGGAUGAUGACGAAAGUCCAAAGAUUUAUCGCCAGAGGAUGAGCCCGCGUAGGAUUAGCUAGUUGGUGUGGUAAAGGCGAACCAAGGCGACGAUCCUUAGCUGGUCCGAGAGGAUGAUCAGCCACACUGGGACUGAGACACGGCCCAGACUCCUACGGGAGGCAGCAGUGGGGAAUAUUGGACAAUGGACGAAAGCCUGAUCCAGCAAUGCCGCGUGAGUGAUGAGGGCCUUAGGGUUGUAAAGCUCUUUUACCCGGGAUGAUAAUGACAGUACCGGGAGAAUAAGCUCCGGCUAACUCCGUGCCAGCAGCCGCGGUAA